rnacentral:rRNA from 1 species
UAGGGAAUCUUCCACAAUGGACGCAAGUCUGAUGGAGCAACGCCGCGUGAGUGAAGAAGGUUUUCGGAUCGUAAAGCUCUGUUGUUGGUGAAGAAGGAUAGAGGUAGUAACUGGCCUUUAUUUGACGGUAAUCAACCAGAAAGUCACGGCUAACUACGUGCCAGCAGCCGCGGUAAUACGUAGGUGGCAAGCGUUGUCCGGAUUUAUUGGGCGUAAAGCGAGCGCAGGCGGAAGAAUAAGUCUGAUGUGAAAGCCCUCGGCUUAACCGAGGAACUGCAUCGGAAACUGUUUUUCUUGAGUGCAGAAGAGGAGAGUGGAAUUCCAUGUGUAGCGGUGGAAUGCGUAGAUAUAUGGAAGAACACCAGUGGCGAAGGCGACUCUCUGGACUGCAACUGACGCUGAGGCUCGAAAGCAUGGGUAGCGAACAGG